ACGGGAGGCAGCAGUUAGUAAUAUUGGUCAAUGGGCCAGAGCCUGAACCAGCCAAGUAGCGUACAGGAUAUCGGCCCUAUGGGUUGUAUAUUGUUUUUAUAAGGGAAUAAAGUGAGCCUAGUGAGGCUUUAUGCAUGUACCUUA
rnacentral:rRNA from 1 species